GAUGAACGCUGGCGGCGUGCUUAACACAUGCAAGUCGAACGAAGCAUUCUAACGGAACAUUUUCGGAUGGGAAGUUAAAAUGACUGAGUGGCGGACGGGUGAGUAACGCGUGGAUAACCUACCAUAUACAGGGGGACAACAGUUGGAAACGACUGCUAAUACCGCAUAAGCGCACAGUGCCGCAUGGCACGGUGUGAAAAACUCCGGUGGUAUAUGAUGGAUCCGCGUCUGAUUAGCUAGUUGGUGAGGUAAUGGCCCACCAAGGCAACGAUCAGUAGCCGACCUGAGAGGGUGACCGGCCACAUUGGGACUGAGACACGGCCCAAACUCCUACGGGAGGCAGCAGUGGGGAAUAUUGCACAAUGGGCGAAAGCCUGAUGCAGCGACGCCGCGUGAGCGAAGAGUAUUCGGUAUGUAAAGCUCUAUCAGCAAGGGAAGAAAAUGACGGUACCUGACUAAGAAGCCCCGGCUAACUACGUGCCAGC
rnacentral:rRNA from 1 species